rnacentral:rRNA from 1 species
UACGAAGGGGGCUAGCGUUGUUCGGAAUUACUGGGCGUAAAGCGCACGUAGGCGGAUACUUAAGUUAGGGGUGAAAUCCCCGGGCUCAACCCGGGAACUGCGUCCGAUACUGGAAGGCUUGAAUCCGGGAGAGGGAUGUGGAAUUCCAGGUGUAGCGGUGAAAUGCGUAGAUAUCUGGAGGAACACCGGUGGCGAAGGCGACAUCCUGGACCGGUAUUGACGCUGAGGCGCGAAAGCCAGGGGAGCAAACGGG